rnacentral:rRNA from 1 species
CAGCUAGUUGGUGGGGUAAUGGCUCACCAAGGCGACGAUCGGUAGCCGGCCUAAGAGGGCGGACGGCCACACUGGGACUGAGACACGGCCCAGACUCCUACGGGAGGCAGCAGUGGGGAAUUGUUCGCAAUGGGCGCAAGCCUGACGACGCAACGCCGCGUGGAGGACGAAGAUCUUCGGGUCGUAAACUCCUGUCGAGUGGGACGAAUAGCCCGCGGGGUAAUAUCCUGCGGGAAUGACGGUACCACUAAAGGAAGCCCCGGCUAACUCCGUGCCAGCAGCCGCGGUAAUACGGGGGGGGCAAGCGUUGUUCGGAAUUACUGGGCGUAAAGGGCUCGUAGGCGGCCAACUAAGUCGGACGUGAAAUCCCUCGGCUCAACCGGGGAACUGCGUCCGAUACUGGUUGGCUUGAAUCCGGGAGAGGGAUGCGGAAUUCCAGGUGUAGCGGUGAAAUGCGUAGAUAUCUGGAGGAACACCGGUGGCGAAGGCGGCAUCCUGGACC